GUCUAUGGCCAUUCCACCCUGAACGUACGAGUUCUCAUCUGAUCUUGGAAGCUAAUCAGGGUUGGGCCUGGUUAGUAUUUGAAUGGGAGACUGUCUGGGAAUACCAGCUGCUGUAGGCU
ensembl:rRNA 5S_rRNA 5S ribosomal RNA